rnacentral:lncRNA from 1 species
UCUGUUACCUGAAGUCCUCCUCUUGCUGCUGGCAGCUAUGUUGGCCUGAACUAUGACUCUGGCAGCUCCUAUGAGCCGUGUUAUUUCUAUGCCCUAUCUUCUGAGGCUGGCCUCCUGGAGUCCUGGGUCUAAUUCAUUGUUGUGUUGUACGUACAACUAUCUGCAAAACAAACAAACAAACAGACAGACAGAGAAAAAACAAUGAAAGAGGU